rnacentral:rRNA from 1 species
UACGAAGGGGGCUAGCGUUGCUCGGAAUCACUGGGCGUAAAGCGCACGUAGGCGGAUCUUUAAGUCAGGGGUGAAAUCCCGGAGCUCAACUCCAGAACUGCCUUUGAUACUGGGGAUCUCGAGUCCGGAAGAGGUGAGUGGAACUCCGAGUGUAGAGGUGAAAUUCGUAGAUAUUCGGAAGAACACCAGUGGCGAAGGCGGCUCACUGGUCCGGUACUGACGCUGAGGUGCGAAAGCGUGGGGAGCAAACAGG